UCCUCCAGGGGAAACCAGAAGAACGGCUGGCAGCUGUGUUCUGGAGCUUCCCGGAAGAGUUACCCUGAUGGGUUUCCAGGCCCCGGACAUCCGAAGAUGAGGGAAGUGAGGCCCAGAGAAGUGAAGUGACUUGCCCAAGGUCACACAGCAGACAAAUGGCAGAGGCGGAUUCAUCACCUCCCUCCCUGGGAGUUUCCAACGGGGCUCCCGGUCAAUCGGUGCAGGUGUGUGCGGGAAUUCUGGUGCAGGGACUCCACGUAUUCUCGGGCCGAUGCAGCAAACCGGUCCUCCGAUGUGCUGCCGCUCGAGUGCCGCUUCCGGAUCUGGUGGAGAGUUACAGGUUGGGCCUGACCUCCGGCCCGCUGCCCGCCGCCAGGCUGGGCAGAGCCAGCAGCUCCGGGGGGGGAGGGGGGUAUAGCAGGCUGCCACUCUGGCCUCAGAGUCUUCCUUUGAAACCCUCCUGCCACUCCCCCAGGCCUUGGUUCCAACCCCCAGGUCUCACUUCCUCUUGCUGUCCCUGGGCCCCAAGUCACUCUAGGGCCUCCCGUGGAGGAGCACUGCAGAGGUGAGAAAGACCAGGUGGGUCCUCCAGGGCGGCACUUUUGGGAAGCCCCAAUAAAGGGAGCGUGGAGCUCAUAGUGGAAGCCGGUG